rnacentral:rRNA from 1 species
UACAGAGGUCCCAAGCGUUGUUCGGAUUCACUGGGCGUAAAGGGUGCGUAGGCGGUCGGGUAAGUCUGAUGUGAAAUCUCACAGCUUAACUGUGAAACUGCAUUGGAUACUAUCCGGCUCGAGGAAUGGAGGGGAGACUGGAAUACUUGGUGUAUCAGUGAAAUGCGUAGAUAUCAAGUGGAACACCAGUGGCGAAGGCGAGUCUCUGGACAUUUCCUGACGCUGAGGCACGAAAGCCAGGGGAGCAAACGGG